UGUGGGAGCUGUUGCCUUUCAGAGGGUAAU
rnacentral:piRNA from 1 species